rnacentral:lncRNA from 1 species
AGGAAAAGAGGUAAUAAUUAAUAAUGUAAGUAAUGUGCAAAGUUAUUCCAUAAGUCAACUAAUAGUCGUCAUAAUGUUGAGCUGGAUGAUUGUCUUNUUGUUCAUUGUUUUGAGGCUCUGAUGGUGGCUGGACAGAUGGUGGCUGGACAGAUGGGGACUGGACUGAUGGGGUCUGGACUGGUAUGGGCUGGACAUGUGUGGGUUGAGCUUCAGUAGGCUGGACUGGUGUGGGCUGCGAAUGAGAGGCCGAAGGCACUGCAGACUGAGGAAGCAAUCUCAUGACCAGUUCUUUAAAAUUG